rnacentral:rRNA from 1 species
UGAGCAAUCUGCCCUUCUCUUCGGAAUAAGCGUUGGAAACGACGUCUAAUGCCGAAUACGACCUCCUUUCGCAUGAUCGGAGGUGGAAAGCUCCGGCGGAGAAGGAUGAGCUCGAGGCCUAUCAGCUAGUUGGUGUGGGUAAUGGCCCACCAAGGCGACGACGGGUAGCCGGCCUGAGAGGGUGACCGGCCACACUGGGACUGAGACACGGCCCAGACUCCUACGGGAGGNAG